rnacentral:piRNA from 1 species
UGCAUUAUAAGAUGGAUCCCCCAAGGCCU